rnacentral:lncRNA from 1 species
UUACUUGUUGUAGCCCCGAUGUUAGGAAUAUUCUCCCAAAAUCUAAUUUGUUGCGCAUAAAUAAAACAAGUUUAAUGUUGUUGCUGAUGACGAUGACGAUGACGACGAUGGCGAUGAUGAUGAGGACGAUGAUGGUGAUAUUGAUGAUGAUGAAUAUAUUGGAACUGAUAUUUACAAUUCCUCCGUGUAUGAAAAAUUAACCGUCUAUUGCAAGAAAUAAUAAGCCCCAUAUUCUAUAUUACAUCUGAUAAAUAUACACGGAGACGCCAUACAGUAGCAAAACUGUUCGACAUAUGAUAUAUGACUGUCCACUAAAUUUGAAGACUUUUUCAAUUAUCUCUGCCAGAUGUAUAUAAAUCGUCACACGCUGUGGGAUACAUGAGAAAUAUAGCAAUAUACAAUGAGAAUUACAAACUUCAAAAUAAUGUAGAUAUUAUUAGUACACGAGAAGAAUGGCUAGAAUAUAUGCACCAAACCUCAACAUAGAACCAGCGAAGGACUUUAAAUUUGAUUCAGAAAUGAACUGAAAAUACAACGAAUAACAUUGGUCUAGAAACUGAAUUAGAAUUCUUUUAGCUAAGGCGUGUGUAAAACAUUCCAUUAAUGUUGGUAUACACCAAUCUGUGUAAGGCCAUUCAGGGAUUAGCGACAAAGAAUAACAAAUACCCCAAUCUUUUUCAGGACAUUCGGAAAUAACGGCAAAAAUAGGCUAAAGCACGUUCCGGAUUAUGAUAAUAAAAGGAUGUGUAAAUAUUAUUAGGAUGCUUGUAAGUUAUCUUUCCAUAUUUUUUAUGCAAUUUUCCGAAGUCAACGUCACAUAAUAAUAUGGAUUAAAACAAGAAAAAAAGUUGAUGGCAAAGAAAAAUGAAACGUAGUAGUAGUAGUAGUAGUAGUAGUAGUAGUAGUAGUAGUAGUAGUAGUAGUAGUAGUAGUAGUAGCAGCAGCAGCAGCAGCAGCAGUAGUAGUUUUGUUGUUAUAGUAGAUGUGAUCGUGAUGGGAGGAAAAGGAGAAUGUUGAAGAGUAGGGCAUGAGGAAACGAAAACGGAUGAGAAGAAGAGAGAUGGCAAUGGUAGGAGAAAUACAAAGAAAAAGAAAAAGAAGAAACAAUAUAAACAGACAUAGAAGAUAUAAAAAGAAGGAAUAAAUAUCUCCGUAUUCAAAAGUGGCAAACGAGAAAAUGAAGAAACAUCUGACAGUGAAAAGAACCGUGAAUGAACUUUUUAAACGACAAAUAUAAUCGGAAACAAUGUUUAUACGAAUGCAAAGAAGAAAACACCAAGACGUAUAGUCAUCAUUUCCGUACAAUCGAUAAUGAUUAAAUGCAUAUAACCCAAUACGAAUAUUAAUUUUUCUAUAUAUUUGCUAUGCGUUACUAGCACAAGUGCGCAUGUGCAUAUUUACAGAUAUUCAAAAUGGCGACUUGUAGCUCGUUGCUAAAGUUUAAGAUUUAUAACCGUAUUCCCGUAUGACAAAUAAAUACCCAAACAGUAUCAUAAAUCUACUGAUACCAUUACCGCUCCUUGUUCUACUAAUAAUAAAAUAAUAGCAAUAAUAGCAAUUAUUAGUAUUAUUGUUAUUAUAUUAACCACUGGGGAGCUACAAAUACUCAAAUAACAAUUAUGAAACUUAGCCAAAUUAUUAGUCUGUAUAUGCACGCACAAACAGGUCACACAUAAAUACACACACAUGCACGCACAUGAACGUACACACACAUAUAUUUAUAUGAUAUUAGUAAUAAUAAAGAGUAUUGGGAAUUGUGCAUUCACAAUUUUCUUUUAUGGUUAUAUACAGCAUAUCAUAAAAACCUACACGUGUUUCUGCUACACCGACAAUAUUUCAAAGUUGCAUUUCAAACAGUGAGUAGAGGCUGUAUAUGUUGUAUAUAACUAUAAAAUAUAUCUUCUAAAUGUACAAUUUUCCAUAUUCUUCAUUAUUAUUAAUAUCAAUAUACAUUCCAGACAAUUUUUACAGCGAAAGAAGUUGGAAAUACGCAUCGGAAGUAUUCACGGAACGACUAACAACUGAAAGUAGUCACAUACGUUAGACACAGAUCAAUGUGGCUAGCCAUUAAGUGGAAUUUAACUGAGAUCUAAUACUAUAUCCGCACGGAUAACAUAUCCCACCAAACUCAAUUUGAUAUAUAUAUAUAUAUAUAUAUAUAUAUAAAAUAACAAAAUAAUAUAUAUAUAUAUUCGAGAUAAUGGUGUCAUUGACACCCAAAGGUUUCAGGUAGUGCUGAAUAAGUGCUAUAGAUAGAUCAUAGUUAAGUUUUAGAUUAGGUAAUAUAGCGAAUAAAGGGUUCAACGUUGGUUCUAGGUCUGCGUGUGUAUAUAUAAGAAUUUUUUGCGUAAUAAGAUAAAAAAACCAAGGCUGUAUAUAUAUAUUAAAGCAUUUAUAGAUAGAAGGUCUUACAGCUGUUUCUAGGAUAUUAAUUUAUAAUAUCCCUUCAUCGGAGACGGUGUGAGAGGAGACUUAAUUUUUCAUGAAUUUUUAUGACUCAAUUUUUUAAAUUCAGAACGGAACUGUAAAUGUAACGAAUAACGUUGGUCUAGACUUAAUUUUUCGUAGAUUUUUAUGACUUAAUUUUUCCUCUCAAACCGUCUCCGAUGAAGAGAUAUUAUUUAUUAAUAUCCUAGAAACAUCUGUAAAAUCUUCUAUCUAUAAAUGCUCUAAUAUCUAUACAGCCUUGGUUUUUUUAUCUUACUACGCAAAAAAUUCAUAUAUAUAUAUAUAUAUAUAAAAUCUUUUAUUGUCACACAGUUUUCAGCCAUUAGACUGCAGCUAGGACGAAUCAUCUCCUUGAAGUAUUUAGUCAAGCAUAUUGACACAAAUUCACAUUCUGAUCUGUGAUUCUGUGUUUAACUGAUCGGUAUUUAAUCUAUCGUUUUCAUGUUCUUUGCUGACGUGCUCGCUCACCGGAACACACGGAGAAAACAACAGUGAUGGUCAAGAUGUGGUGGAGAACAAAUACAAAGUUACACUCACGUAUAUAUAUAUAUAUAUAUAUAUAUAUAUAUAUAUAUAUAAAUAUAUAUAUAUAUAUAUAUAUAUAUAUAUAUAUACAUAUAUGUAUAUAUAUAUAUAUGUAUGUAUGUAUGUAUUUAUGUAUGUAUGUAUGUGUGUGUCUAUGUAUGUGUGUACUCUGUGUGUGCUUGUAUGUGUGAGUGUGUGUGCGUGCGUGUGUGUAAAGAAGCAGAUUAUAACAUAUAAACGGAGGGAAAGAGAUUGAAAAAAGCGCACACUAUGAAAUGUAUCACUCGUCAACCUGUUCAAUCCCACCAUAUGGAUUAUCUACUUUUAGGGAACAUUUUAGCAUCACUACUUUUGAGAGUAAUUUCAACUUUGAGAGUUUUGAGAGUAAUUUCCUUCCUCCCCCUCACCUGUUUCGAAAGAUCUGGGAGGAGAAUAUAGAUUCAUAAGUACUGUCCUUCUCUUUGAUUAAAUACACAGGCAGACUUCGACAUGUAAAACUAACACCAGCCUCUUGAUGAUGUAGUGUAAUCAAAUCAUGAAUCUUGUGCUAUUCCAGCGCAAGUCACAAAGCCAGUACAAACGUGAAUUUCAAGUGAAAGAAUUGUACCGCACUUUUAACAUUUGUUAAGGGCAUAUUUCAGAGUUGUAAAGAUUUGACAGGUGGCAUGAUCUGUGAUUGUGUGUUUAACUGAUAAAAUUACAAUGGGAAAUCACUGUAACUAUUUAAAAACGAAUAAAAUCCUCUCCAAUCUUCUUUGUUCAUAUUAUAAUAGUACUGUUUAUUACAAAUUACUUGUAAAAUUGUGCAACGGCAACUGCGUGACGAAGUUUGUAAUUGUUUGGAGUAGGGAAUACGGUUCACAUUAAAGCAAAACUAAACGAAGCAGGUCUUCAAUUACUAAAAUGCAUCUUCGACGAUGUAAUUAUCGAUACACGAUUAAUGGGUGACAUACAAUGUGAGUAUAAUCCAUUAUUCUAUGAGUGACACGCAUGAUUUUUAUUUGUAUAUAAAAUUUUAACACGCAUUGACAGAUAUUGUUUAUGUAUCUUGUUCUCUAGCACCAUUAAAGUGUUGUUUGCGAUCUGGAGGAAAAACUAAUAUAGAUGAGGAAACGUACAUAGAAUCGUAACAAUACUUUUAAUGAAACAUGUCCAAAGGAUACUUGGAUAAAAUAAUAAACAAAAAAUGAUAUAUAUAUUUUUUUUAAUAUUGAUGUCUUACCAUCGCAAAUAAAAUAAGGUGAACAAGACGAAAUAAUCCAAAGUUGUGAGAAGACGUGUAAAUAUAAUGAAAGCAAACAUAAAGUGAUGAUACGAUAAACAAUAGAGAUGAAAUAUGACAGACGUGUCUGAAUACACAUCGACAAGAGCAUAUUUUUGAUAAUACAAAGCAGCAAAUAUCCGAAUAUAACACAGUGCAAGAGGAUAAAACGAAACAAUCGAGAAAAAUAAUAGUAAUAUACAAUAUGAAUGCUGACCAUAGCAAACCAAUUGCCAGGGAACAAAUGAAAUGCGUUACCAAGCAGAGAAUAAACAAAUAUUAGCUAAGUACAAGCAGGUUUAUUGAGAAAUGUGCUUCCAAAUAAACACAUACGAACGUUGAUGUACUGAAGAAUCUAAUUUACUCAGGAUUUAUGGCUGCAUUGAAAGAAAACAGGCUCGACCCUUACAUAAUAAGUCACAAACCAUCAUAAAAAAUUAUGUGGAAAGGAAACAAAACAUAAAAUCGAGAAGAAAAAAAAGACCGGAAAGAAAAUCCAAUAUUCGCAUAGAGAUGGAAAGGAGGGGGGGCUAUACAGGAUCGAAAGGAAACAACACACACACACAUAUAUUUGUGUGUAUGUAAUGUAUGUGUACAUGUAUUUAUAUACAUAUAAGUAUAUAUAUAUAUAUAUAUAUAUAUAUAUAUAUAUAUAUAUGUAUAUUACAUAUGCAUAUAUAUACAUAGAAAUGUAUAUAUGUGUGUGGUAAAUGGUGGAGGGGCAUAUAUGUAAAUUUAAAGUAAAAUUAAAUGAAACAUUACUGUGAUAGCUUGGAAAAAGUCAGUUUUUCUUCAAAGGGUAUUGGUAUUAAGCAAAUACUAAAGUACUAAACAACUGAAUGCAGACCACAAUAAAAAAUAUACAAGGCUGCAUUAGAAGAUGAACUGAAUAACGAAAUAAAUCUAAUGUAAUGGAAGAUGAUAUGGAGCCAAAGUAUAGAACAAAACGAAACGAAGGACUGACGCGUUCGUCAGUAAGAUAAUGAUUACUUUCGAAAUUAAUAAACUGAUCCAUUUCUGGUUAAUAUAUUUAGACUGGUAUCAGCGAUGCUGUAGCAACAAUUUAAAUGUGUUACAGGAAAAAAAGCGCCCAAUAACGUAUUACAUAGCGUGGAAAAACAACGUCACUGCUUGAAAAAAAAAAAAAAUGUAUCCAAUGAGUAUCCACCAAUGUCCUGUUUCUAAGCACGCAGGCACACGCACACACGCGCACACAUACAUACAAACAGCUAUAUUUUAAUAAAAAAUGUUUAUGCAUAUAUAUAUAUAUAUAUAUAUAUAUAUAUAUAUAUAUUAAUCAAAAUAAAAACAUGAUGCCAAGGAUUCAGCGGUACAUAUGUUUCGGGCCUCUAUUAGACGGAUUUAUAACAAUGCAUAAUGUGUGUCUAUGGCCUUCUUCAGCCGCGCACAAUUACUACGUCCUUGAGGUAGUAAUUGUGCGCGGCUGAAGAAGGCCAUAGACACACAUUAUGCAUUGUUAUAAAUCCGUCUAAUAGAGGCCCGAAACAUAUGUACCGCUGAAUCCUGGCAUCAUGUUUUUAUUUUGAUUAAUAUAUAUAUAUAUAAAUAUAUAUAUAUAUAUAUAUAUAUAUAUAUAUAUAUCACGUGAUCACGUGACCGACCCGUCCAUCAGAUGUAGUUACAUAUCGCUGGUUCGCAUUGUUUUAGCCUUCGCGUGACGCCACCCCGCUGGCUAAGCGAGCAGGCCAACAGAAGAAAGAGUGGGAGAAAGAGUGGUGAAAGAAUACAGCAGUGUCACCCCCCCCCCCUGCCGGAGCCUCGUGGAGCUUUUAGGUGUUUUCGCUCAAUGAACACUCACAACGCCCGGUCUGGGAAUCGAAACCGCGAUCCUACGACCGCGAGUCCGCUGCCCUAACCACUGAGUCAUUCCGCCUCCUUAAAAAACACCCCCCAGGAUAUCAUACAGUGAGAUUGAACCUGGAAACACUAACUGCGUUGCGAGCUUCUUCUCCACAAGGCGACGCACGAAAUUAUAUAUAUAUAUAUAUAUAUAUAUAUAUAUAUAUAUAUAUAUAUGUAGAUAUAUUCAAAUACAUAUAUAAGAAUACAUAAUUACACACACAUAUGUAUACAUAUAUGACCUUGAGUUUGUGGGCAUUUGCGGGUGUUGAUACCCGCACAUAUGUACGUGUGCAUGCACAUGUAUAAAAGCGUGUGGGUAUAUAUAACCCCUAUAUAUUCACAGAUGAGCACGUUGGUCGCCUGCCUACAAAAUAUUUUCAGAAAAAGUGACGGAUGACUGAAUGAGCAGCAUGGAUGUAAAGUUCAGCUAUUGUUAAUCCGAGCAGUAGUUGACAAAAUGAAGGAGGAAAAAUACAGGAAGUUCUGUAUAGAUUGAUUAUUGAAAAAAACUUCUUGAGUAAAACACCCUUUUAGGUAUUAGAAAACUCGUGCAUCAAAAUUGCUUUCAAUAAAUUAGCAGCCAUGCUAUGCCAAAUGUGUGUGUGUCUUUCUAUAUAUAUACAUAUAUAUAUAUAUAUAUAUAUAUAUAUAUAUAUAUAUAUAUAUAUAUAUAUAUAUAUAUAUUAUAUAUGUAUAUAUAUAUAUAUAUAUAUAUAUGUAUGUAUGUAUGUAUGUAUGUAUGUAUAUGUAUAUCUUUAUAUAUAUAUAUAUAUAUAUAUAUAUAUAUUUAUGUAUAUAUUUAUAUAUAUGUAUGUAUCUAUAUAUAAUAUAUAUACAUACAUAUAUGUAUAUAUGUAUAUAUGCACAUAUACAUAUAUAUACAUGUAUAUAUAUAUAUAUAUAUAUAUAUAUAUAUAUAUAUAUAUAUAUAUAUAUAUAUAUAUUUGUGUGUGUGUAAAUAUAAAGCAGGAAUACGAAGAGAUGGAAUUUAAGCAUUCCUAUACCCAAAUGAGGAAGAAUUACUCAGGAGACGUCUUUUUUCAAGCUUCUAAUUCAUGCAUAAAUCUCUCGAAGCAAAACACUAAUCCUUCUCGACAUUAUUAACACAUUCUCAAGGAUUCGCUCUCGGGGAAUUACGCAUAAUUAUAGUAAAUAACUCCGCUGAGAAAACGAAAGAAGUUGUAAAUGUAAACAGCAACAACAUCAAAAUAUUUGAGAUUAACCAAUUGUGCCAAAGCUUUCCUACAAAAAAGUAAAUCAACUAGAAUGCAAAGCUGUAUUUAUAGAUCCUGGGAUUUCAGAAAAUAAAAGCGGACUGUCGACACAAGGAAGAAAAAUACGGGAAAAGAAUAACAGAUAUAACGACAAACCAUCUUAAGAACCCAAGGGCUAACUAAAAUUUCAUUAUACUGGAUACCGAUUUGAAGGAAGGGAUUAGCUUAGAAUUUAUUAGAAAAAAUGUUUAAUGUUAAUCUGCUAGAGCACACCUGUGUGAUUAAGAAUUUUAGUUUGCAGUUUGAUAGGGAGGGGGGUUCAGUCCCACAGCGUAGCAGUUUGAGUAUUGCUUUUAAUUAUAGCUCUGAACUGACCAAUGCAUUGUGAGUAAAUUUGGUCGACGGACGCGUCGCGGACACCCGUUACUUUUGUGUGCGUGUGUUUGUGUGUAUGUGUUGUUGAGCUGUGUGUGCAUGUGCAUUGUGUGUGAGAGAGUCGCUAUGCAGAUUUGACAACCGGUGUUGGUUUGUUUAUGCCUACGUAACUCAAUUCAGGAAAUACCAUAUUUUGAAAAAAGUAGUUAUGGAGUCAAUUCGCACGAUGAAAGUACUUCCAGCACCACUGCCCGACUACUGUCCAAUCAUUGAACCCACUUCAGCAGAAAAUGUAAUAACACUGGAGGAAUUCUGAACAAUAUUAAAUAUAGAUAGAGUUAAAGAUGGUAUAAGCAGAGUUAAUAAAAAGUGAAAUUUAGAGCAUAAAAACAUAAUUUGAAAUAAAGAAAACAGAACGCACCCAAAUUAUUUCUCUAUAUAUUUAUUCAAAACAUGAUCCAAUUUGAAAGGUUUAACGCAAUCAUUUUACCUGCUAGAAACAAGUGCCUGAUCUCACGCAAAUCACCUCUUUUCAAAUACGUAUCGACACAGGUAUCGCGUGCGUAUAUAUACAGAAACAUAUAUAUGCAAAUGUACGUAUGAAUAUACAUAUAUAUAUACAGAGAGAGAGAGAGAGUGAGAGGGAGAGAUACAUAGAUAAAUAGAUAGAUGUUUAGAUUGAUAAAUAGAUAUACAUAUAUGUGUGUGUGUGUGUGCAUAUUUAUAUAUAUAUGGAUAUAUAUAUAUAUAUAUACAUAUAUAUAGACACAGACACACACAUAUAUAUGUGUGUGUGUCUGUGCGUGUGUGUAUACAUAUACAUGGAUAAAUAAACAUAUAUUUAUAUAUAUAUAUGUGUGUAAUAAUAAUAAUAAUAAUAAUAAUAAUAAUAAUAAUAAUAAUAAUAAUAAUAAUAAUAAUAAUAAUAAUAAUAAUAAUAAUAACAACAACAACAACAACAACAACGACGACGACGAUGACGAUGAUGAUGAUGAGGAUGAUAAUAAAUACAAUAUAAAAUUAGCAGAAAAGGGAGAAAACUUUUUAUCAACAUACAAUUUGACCAGCAUCGGUUAAUUAUAUUUUAAUACAAAACAGGACAUUGCUUAGAAACGUUUCGGUUACCAUUGUCAGUCGGUGCCUCCAAAGAAAUUUAUGAGAAUAAUAUUCGUCAUUUUUUUAGCAAAUCUGAUCUACUACAUCGUGCUUCAUCAGAGUGAAUACAAAUACAUAAAUUAAAAGAAGAGAAGAGGGAAGAGGAAACAACAGGGCCUCGAUAUGAGCUGGUCAAUUUGUAUGAUGAUCAAAAGAUUUACCAUUUUCUGCUUACUUUAAAUUUGAUUCCUGAUAGACUUUUGUUUGUUCUGUUAUUACUUGUAUCCUAUGAGCAUAGUGUCCUAGCAUAACUAUGCCCAGGGUGAACAUGGAUAAUUCAUAGCGGUAGUGAUAACGGACAUUCUUAUUCCUUAGACGGUAUCUUACAUACAUAUAUAUAUAUAUAUAUAUAUAUAUAUAUAUAUAUAUAUAUAUAUAUAUAUAUAUAUAUAUAUAUAUGUGUGUGUGUGUGUGUAUGUAUGUAUGUAUGUAUAUAUAUAUACUAGCACUAUGACCCGGCGUUGCCAGGUUAUAGUGCUAGUGCAUGCAUAUACAGCUGCAUGCGUGCACACAUACACGUAUGUAUAUAAGAUCUAUAUAAAAGUUUGUAUAUAGAUCUUAUAUACAAACUUUUAUAUAAAUCUUAUAUGCAUAUAUACAAACUUUUAUAUAGAUCUUAUAUGCAUAUAUACAGCUGCAUGUGUGCGCACAUACAUGUGAGUACUGUCCAAAUCUCCGACCAAUCACAUAGAGCUAGCUGGCAUUCAAUUGGUGUAUCAAGUUUUGGGCAUUUUGAUUGGGUUUUGGAUAGAAAAUUCACAAAAGAAGUCACUUCUAUUGAUUUUUUAAUGGUCUUGCAGGGUGACUGGGGAAAUGUAAAGAUGUGCACGACGACCCUUGGACAGUAUGACCAUAGAAAGUGCGAGCCCUCUAACUGAAAAAUUGUGGAUUUGUAUAAAGAACACACACACAGACAUUUUACCGUUUAUAUAUAUACUAGCAGAAUUGCCCGGCGUUGCUCGGGGCUGAAUUGCUUGAAAGUACUGUUAAUGAUUGCACUGAAUUAUGAUGAUUAUUCAGGCAAAUAUUGAUAUAAGUUUACGGUGGGAGAUAAGGACUUAACGAUCAAACGUGUGCCAUUGCAUUGUUUUGGGGGAACCAAAUUUCUGAUGAGCAUUAUAGGGGCACCAACUUUAAGUUUGAGAAAGUGUGGUGGUAGUCCGGGGUGCUCAAAGGAAUUGAGUACCUCUAUUGGAUAGUUGAUGACGUCCUCUGGGUCAGGAGUUGUAUCGAUAGACUGAUAUACAUAGACUUCCCCAGGAAUGAGUUUUAGCAUUUCAUCAUUAAUAUGGUGAACAGUUUUAUUCCUCGGGGCCAGUAUAGCCUUUUUGCCAAUCCAAUCCAUAUUCUGAUAAUUAGCUUGUAGAUCUGGGAACACUGCAUCUCUGAGAUCAGAAGGCGUCUUAACAAUGUUACAAAUGGAAUCGAUGGCAAUAUUACCAUUUUCAUCCCCUGGUAUUUUGCCUUCGCCAAGUGCAAGGAGGGUGUGAAGAAAUGCUGCUGAUGUGAUAUUACGUCGCAUAUGAGCACGCAUAUUGGUGUGAAGUUUGAGAGUUACUUCCCUUUAUUGAAAAAAUAUGCAUUAAAAUGGAAAAAAAUGAUGGUAAAUUAUUUGUAAAAUCAUAGACUCAUCGUAGACGCGCGCUAAUACCCAGAAGGGCUCGAUAUGAAUCACGACUAUAAGAUACCCGGUUUUAGUUAAACUGCAUCGCAAAAUGUGGGAGUAGUUAGGAAUCUAAAUCGGAGUAGACAGACACACAACCUUUCUUUUAUAUGAAAAUAUUUUCGUCCUAAAAAACUUUGUAUGGAUUGAAUGGUUACCUCUAUGGAAAUAUAUACACGUACAUUAUACAUACAUGUGUGUAUAGAUGAAUAUAUAAAUACAUUUAAAUAUCUAUAUACACUUUUGGGCGAUCUUUCUGUUUCUUAGAGAUAACUUUAUCCCGUCCGAUUCGCUCCAAAAUUUACAGGGACAUGUAGAAUGAGGUGACGAUGCUCGUGGGCUACCUUAGAAAUCCCUAUCUUAAAAGGUGUGGUUGGUAGGGGCCAUCUUCCUCACUCACCCUAUUUCCUCCAGUACCCUUUCACUCCUCUUCAUCUGACAAGCCACUACGGUUAUUUAAUGUAAAGUCUUCCUCAAAUCACUCUCUCGCUAUUUACUCUCUUCCAAGAACAUUUUCAGUCACUCUUAUCUCUUAGCUUCCCAUACAUUUUACUCAUGUAUCUAUCAGCGUCAUAGACAGAAACAAAUAUUACAUCGCCAUCGCCAUCGCCAUCGCAUUCUAUUGUCUACCUGUCAACACACACACAGUGAAUUACUUUCACUUUAUUCGUUGCACACUGUGUGUGUGCGUGUGCGUGUGCUGUAGACCACACUAAGAGAAGCAUUUGACUCAUACAGCACAAUGUGAGUUUUCUCUAAAUUUUGCUUAAUUGGGGUUGAAAUUUUAAAAAGUGGACCUGGCAAAACCCGAUGCAUUCUACUCUUAAAAAUGCUAGGUAAAUUGUAAUUGAAGAAAUCCUAUAUUGUAGAUUUCUAUAAGAGACAAAGGGAGGCAGAUAAAAUCUGCCUUUUAUAACAAGAGAUAUAUAUGUACAGGAUGUCCCGAAGGGCUUAAAUAACAUCGGGUAGAUAAAGAACAAAAAGCAAAAUAGAAAACAGGACAGAUAAACGCAGAGAAAGAACCCUUCAUCAGUUGUCAUCCGUCUAUCUACUCCUCAUUUCGAGCAUUCAACGACAAUAUGAGUCCAGAGAAAGUUGCUCUGUAAUAAAAUUGAGGAUUUAUGGAAGUCAAAGUUGGGAACAAAAAGAUGACAGUGGAUAUAUACAAGGAAACCGAACGAAAACAAACAUGGAGGGUCGUUAGACCAGAACGAGGAGAAAAUAGUCAACGCUGGGAGAAAUAUGUUGUUUUGGAAAAAGAAAAGAUAGAAGAGAGAGAGAAAAAUACGUCCGUUCUAGCAGAGAAAGAUGGCCGCAUGAGGAAAAUAAAGAUAGAUGUUCAAGUUUGAGCAACGAAGGAGAGAGAGAAAAAGGGAAAGAUGGGGAGAGGGAGGGACGGAUAGAAAACGGUGCAGGAGAGAGAGAGGAGAAAAAGUGAAUUAGAUAAGGAUGGAGAAAGAAAUGCGCCAGUUCAUUGUAGAAAAGGUUUCAAUUCUGAGUUGUCAAUAUUAGAUUACUUUCGCCAUUCCUAGUAUUUGGAACUACACGUAUUACAAUGAUUCAGUAUUUCCGCAUGAAAAUUAUAUGGCAUUAGUUUAUAAUCGAAUAACCUGAAAAGAAUAAAGCCUGAGCCAUUGUCAGCAUUAAUUUUUUUUUUUCUUUUGUAUUAUUUUGUUUCGAUUCUUACAAUAGUAUUUUAUAUAUAGUAAUCCAAAACAUAUAUUAGUUUUUCUGAUAAGGCGUUUACAGUUUGGAGAUGAAAAUUUCAUCUUCCUAACACAAACUGAACUAGUGGUAUAUUGCAAAUCAAUUCUAAUCUUAAUGGUUUAACAGAUAAAAGGCUGAAACACUACAACUUAAUAAAUCAUGGUUUUUAUCACUAUUUUCAUUUGUUCUUUUAACUUUUCGAUCUCAAAGUUGCUUUUCAAAAACAAAUCCCCCGAUUUUCUGAAUUUUCAGAAGGCCAACUAAAAUAUUAAAUCAUUGAAGUAACAGCAACAUGUCAAAAGCACUGCUAAUCUGCGCAGUUUGUAUUAUCUGACAGCCCUCGACGACGGCCCUCUCCGUGCGUAGAUAAAUAAUUUGGUUUAGGAAAAACUACGUUGCUUUUCUUUUCUUUUUUCUUGUGAGGAUCAUAAGAGCAUUCAUUUCAAUAAGAUAAUAUGUAUACAUCAGAAACAUGAAACUUCAUAAAUUUUAUACAAAAUUGUGUGAGGUUAUCAAACAGCCUUAAAUAAGGAAUAUUUUCCUAAACUGCACAUUUUGGUUUUCUAUUGUUUUAAAAUAUCGUUAGCAUAACGCAUCAAGAUAACAUCAUAAACAGUGUUUAAUAAUAAUUAAUAAUACUAAUUAAAUAGUGUCGUUCACUUAACUUACUUUUAUCAAUGAUUCAGAAUAAUUAAUAAUUUUAUAAUGAAUUGCGAAAAAAGGUGAAAAUAUAUGAGCAUUAAAAUAUUUUUGCAAUAUCCUAAUCGCAAUCAAAUGUCCUCAGUGAAGAAUAAUAAUUACCUCGCAGAUUCGCCAGAGAAUUUAAAUAUGAGCAAGUUUGAACAUUUAUAUUUAUUAUAUCGUGUAUUUUUAGAAUCUUAUGUGUAAAUAUUUCGUUUCGCAAAUUUGAGGGCGACAUAUUCGUUGUUUACAACAUUAGUUGUCACGAAGACUGCUGUUAGUAACAGUUUGCAACUUGUCACACCUACGUUUUUCAUGUUCGGCGUUAGUCACAUACGCUGUCUCUUCCAUUCACACGCAUACAGACAUACUGUUAACACGGUUUUGAACUUUUAAGAAUCACAUGCUAAGCACGCAUCGUCUACAAAUAACCUCAGUAGCUUCUAUUAGAACAGAAUUGCCUGUUUGCAUUGAUAAAUCUAAAACGUCUAUGAAUGCAGUCUUGCUAUUGACAUCAAAAGCAAAAUGCUUACAAAUUUCCAGUAAACAAAGAAAAAAAAAGUCAACAGCAAAACUAGCUUCGUCAGAAAGACUGCUACAGCAUGAAAACUCUACAGGUUAGCACUAAUGAUAUCAGACUAUAUCUACAUAUACUGUCAUAAAAAUUUAUUAAAAUAACAACUGCUACGUCUGUCAGAAUCAAGCAUUGAGAUACACAGACAAACCAAUCACACGUUUCUGUAGCUUAAUUGUAAUUUUUUUUUCAGGAAUCUGUCUGCCAAUACUACGUUCAAUGUAUCAGCUGAGUUAUCUUCCGCUUUGUUUGCACUCUCUUUCUCCUCUCUCCCGCGCUCUCCCCAUCUCUCUCUCUCUCUCUCUCUCUCUAUAUAUAUAUAUAUAUAUAUAUAUAUAUAUUCCUUUAUUCUUUUAUAUAUUUCAUCCCUGAGGUUGCAGCCAUGCUGGGGCAUCGCCAAUGUAAUCACCUUUUAAUUGGCCAAUUCUAUGAGACUUUGGUGAAGGAGGGAGUUCGAUACCGCUGCCCGCUUUCACUUUCCUGCCCUGAUAUCGGUUCAUCUGGGAUCUUGGAUAGCAAGAGGUCAAGUUGUUUCUUGAUAACAUCUACUCCUACUCCAUGGAGAUCUCUCAGAUAUUUUGGCAAUGAGUUAAAUAUAUGUGGGCUCUUGAAUCGCAAGCUAUUGCAGUAUAUGGUCCUCGCCUUAGAUGAGGCAGCUCCGAUUUUGCAACAGUGCAGUGACUUCCACUCCGAGGUCUGGUAUAACUCUUAACUCCAAAGUUUUGUGCCAGCCCCUCCAGUAUCUUCCACACGUAUGCCACUGCAUACUUCUCCCGUCUUUGCUCCAGAGAUUACAGUCGUAGGUAUUUCAGCCUCUCCGAGUAGUUCAACUGUUUCUUUGAUGCAAUCUUCCUCGUGUAGUAUCGCUAUUAUCGUGUAGCUCUUCUAUUAAUCCUACAGUGUAACCACGGUUGAGAGCAGUACUCCAGACGGCAUAGGAUCAGAAUAGUUUCCUGAUCCCUCGUUCUAAAUGUUCUAAGAAUCCAUCCGACCAUUCCCUUGCACACUGCCACCAUAUUGGUGAUAUGCAUGUGAAACGAGGCGUUGUUAAUCAUAUCAAUCCCAAGAUCACUACCAUAUGUGAUGCUAGGAGUACCGCUCAUUUUGGUCCAAACUAUUGUUGUUGGGAUUUCUGAGGACCAAUUAGCUGCUUGUAAUUUGCGUGCAUUAAAUUGCAUGUUGUUGUCUUCAGCCCAUUUAGAGAUGGCAUUUAGGUCAUUCUGUAGUAGAUUCGUAUUGUCUUUGAGAGUUUGCACUAUUUUUGUGUCGUCAGCAUAGCUACUAAGUGCUGCUGUCUUUUUAACUGAUGGCAUGUCUGUAAGAGCCAUGAUAUAAAUAUAUAUAUAUAAUUAAAUUAAAUGGUAGUUCGAUCCGAAUGAAGCUAGUACUGAAAGUUGGUAAUCUUUGAGCAUACACACAGCUAGUAUAGGUGACAAAAAAUAAAGAAAGUUUAAUAAAUGUUGUAUGUUAUAGAAUUCUUCCCAUGUGGGAAUAAGUGUAAGCUUCAGUAAGAUGACCGUCACUAUACAACCCAUGGUUUAGCAAUAAACUUGUCCAAAUAUGCAGCAAAUUCCAACUGUGUUAGGAAUGGAAUAAUAAAUCAAGAUCUCACUUGUUUCACAGCUAAUCAAAAUGUGUUAGACGAUUGUAGCAAGCACAAAACCCGUUUAACUAAAAGUCAUGUCCGAUUACUCUUUUGUUGUGCACCUCCUCGUGUGGAGACCAGUAAAUGAUUAUUUUAGCCACAGUACAAAUGGCAAGUUGAACAAAUAAAACCAAACAGCCAAUAAGGUUAAAUAAUAUUAGCAUACAAGUAAUCAUACACAUACACAUAUAUAUAGGAGCGUGUGUAUAGUUUAAUAAAAUACAGAAUUGCUGUGUGGUAAAUAGCUUGCUUACCAACCACAUUGUUCCGGGUUCAGUCCCACUACGUGGAACAUUCGACGAGUUUCUUCUACUAUAGCCUCGAGCCAACCAAAGCCUUGUGAGUGGAUCUGGUAGAGGGAAACUGAAAGAAGCCCGUCUUAUAUAUAUGUGUGUUAGUAUGUGUUUGUGAGUCUGUUUCACAACCAUCGUUUGACAACCGUUGUUGGUGUGCUUACGUCCCCGUAACUUAUUCUAUCGGCACAAGAGACCGAUAGAAUAAGUGCUAGGUUUAACAAAGAAUAAGCGGGGUCUAUUUAUUCGACAACAGGCAAUAAUCCAGCAUGGCCGCAGUCAAAUGACAGAAACAAGUAAAAGAAUAGAAGAAUAAAAGAAUGCCUUUAUAUGUGCAUGCAUACGUUCAUACAUAGAUAUAUACAUACAUACAUACACACAUACAUCUCUGAGCUUCCAUCUCGUGUACGAUACUACAAAGUAUCAUUGAGUCCGGCGAAAGUUUUGCACAUUCUAUUACUUAUAAACAUACAAAAAAAAAUAUCCUGUUGUUGAUGCUGAAAUUCCAAUGAAGGAACCAUGUAUCUAGGUUAAAAACCGGUUUGUUCUCUUUUAGCAAGAAAUCUUGAAAUAAACUGAAUACAUACAUACAUACAUACAUACAUACAUACAUACAUACAUAGAGACAGACAGACAGACGGACAGACAGAUAGACAGACAAAUAGACAGAGAGACAGGCAUGGGAAGGUGGAUAACUGGUGGGGAUAUUAAAAGGAGGAGUUCGAUUCUAUGGAUACGUAUUCGGCCGUCAUAUCCAAGUGGAUUUCAAGUUACAACAGUAUGUAUUAUAUUAUCUAAUAUAUGUAAUUUACUUCUUAAAAUUAUAAAGCCAUAAUUUGAUUCAAAACAACAUUUUGUAUUCUAUUCAAGAAAAAUAAAAAGAGAACAGGCCGUAAGUAAAACUAAACAGCGAUAACUAAUAUAUUGUUUACAGCAUUUGAAUUACCAUAAAUAGCACAAGAGAUUUUCAGACUUCUUUAGGUCUAGCGAAAAUUUCUCUCGCUCUCUCUCUCUCUCUGUGUAUAUAUAUAUAUAUAUAUACAUAUAUAUAUAUAUCAAAAAUAUACAUACAUAUAUAUAUAUAUAUAUAUAUAGUCAAAAAUUGUGAAGCAUGACUGUCAACACUACUACAUGAACCCGAAGAUUGCAGAAUUCAAUGCAUGAAAGUACUAGUUCAAUCAGAAUGAAUAUUUAACAUUCUACUAUUUCAUUUUAUUUUAUUCAAUUAUAAUAUAUUAUCUUAUAAUAUAUCAUUAUAAGAUUGUAAAUAAAACGUGAAAAUCAGACAAGGUUGGAAUUCUUUUUAUUAAUAUAUUCUUCUAUACACAAACACACACACCCAUAUAUAUAUCUAUCUAUCAUAUAUAUAUAUAUAUAUAUAUAUAUAUAUAUAUAUAUAUAUAUAUAUAUAUAUAUAUAUAUAUAUAUAUAUAUAUAUAUAUAUAUAUAUAUGUAUAUAUAUGUAUAUAUAUGUAUAUAUAUAUGUGUGUAUAUAUAUAUGUGUAUAUAUGUAUGUAUGUAUAUAUAUAUAUAUAUAAUAUAUAUAUCCAAACAUACAUAUAUACAUACAUAUAAAUAUAUAUACACACAUAUAUAUAUAUAUUCUUGUAGUUGUCUCAGUCAUUUCAGUGCGGCCAUACCGGAGCACCUCAUUGAACAUUUAGUGGAAAGUAUCAAUCCCAGUACUUUUCCUUUUGCGCCUGGUACUUACUCUAUAUUUUGCCGAACCGCUAAGUUACGGGGACGUAAGCCCACCACCAUCGGUAGUCAAGCAAUGGUGGGGGACAAAUACAAGCAGAAAGAUACAUCCUCACGCUCGCGCACACGCACACACACAGAUACAGAAACACAUAUACAUAUAUACAGACAUAUAUAGGACGGACUUCAUUCAGUAUCCGUUUACCAAAUUUACUUCCAUGGAUAUACAGCAGAACGCCAUAAAACGAGAGUAUUUCUCUUGAUAAAGGACCUCGUCUAGGGGUAUAGUGCUAAAUAACACAGAAAUGUAUCUGUAGCAGACGAAAUUUGGGAAUAUAUAUGCAUCGGUUCGUGCGAGCGCGAUUGCGCGGGUAUGUGUGCUUGUGUGCUCGUGCGUGUGUUCUUAUGUGUAUGUGUGUUCUUACGUGUAUCUCACUUAACGUGUGUGUUUAUAUUCCUGGAACGGAACGUGGGGCUUAGAAAAAUCUAUAGAUACUAUUUUUGUGUGUGUAUGUAUCUAUGUAUGUAUGUGUGUAUCUCCUUUACUUGUUUCAGUCACCAGAUUGCGGCCAUGCUCGAACACCACCUUGAAGUAUAUUCGGUCGAAUAAAUCGACUCCUAUACACAUUUUUGAAAGUCUCGUAUUUAUUUUCUCGUCGUUAUCUGGCAUACGGCUAGGUUUACAGGAACAUAACCACACCAGCAUAGGUUGUCAAGCAAUGGAGGGGUGACAAACACACAGGCACACACACACACACAGAUAUAUACAAAUAUAUAUAUAUAUAUAUAUAUACAUAUAUAUAUAUAUAUAUAUAUAUAUAUAUAUAUAUAUAUAUAUAUAUAUAUAUAUAUCAUAUAUAUAUAUAUUUAAGUAGGUGAAUGGAUUAUCCUAGCAUGGAAAAUUCGGUUAACCGAUACCUGGGUAGUAAAUUCACGUCAGAAAACAAAAUUUGUGUUCGUCUUGUGGCUGAAAGAGGCUCCUUAUCUUUCCUGAUGAGAAGAUGGCAUAAUGCACCAUUUAUCCCUUCGGAAUUAAAUCAAAGCCGUCUUCGAAACAUGUGUCGGGAGUAAAGGAAUUUUCUUAAAAUCUUCGUUCGACUCCAUUCUUUCAUUUAUUCAUAUAUAUAUAUAUAUAUAUAUAUAUAUAUAUAUAUAUAUAUAUAUAUAUAUAUAUAUAUAGUCAAUAAUAAAAGGGUAAAAUCAAUUAAUUAUUGAUUAAUAAUUUUACCAAGUAGUGUUCAGUAUGUAAAAAGACCAUUUACGGUAUAUUAAAAACAUUACGUUAUAUAAUUAGGGUUCAGUAAAAUAAUUUACUUUACCACACACCGAACGUUUAGAAAUUGCAGUCGUGGGUGGACGAGGGAUGAUACAAAGCAUCAUUCGUACUUUUUGAAUUCGUUAGUACUGCCGGUCGAAGAUGGUUUGUCUGGGAUUACUCAUAUCAGACGGGUAUGUUCGAUUUUUAGUGCUCUCAAAUUCAAACCUAAAGAAACCUGGGGCUGAUGACGGAAAUGUUGAUCUCUAUAUCCAACUAAUCCAGAAACGGUGUUCUCAAGUAAUCGAUGCACGUGUGAUCUUUCGUUAUUUUUCCCUCUAUACCUGCGUGAAUUAUUUUUGAGUAUACAUUGUCUGGGAGACUUUUCUUAUAGUAGAGGAAAUAGCUAAAAUUUUUUUACUGCCGAAAAGUUCGGUGUGUGGUAAAGUAAAUUAUUUUACUGAACCCUAAUUAUAUAACGUAUCUGGGGCCGGCGUCUUUCUUGGGUUUCUCCUACGCCUGCCACCGCGGGACAACUUUUCCAUCUUUCCCUCAGUUGCAGUUUGUUUCCUUAAUACCCCCCUUUUGUACACACACGCACACACAUACAUACACCCACUCCCACGCACUCACACACACACUGGCACGUUACAUACGCCCCCACGCAUUCCCUCCUUCCUCCUUUUACCACUGACCACUCACUUGAGACUGCUAUGUCAACUACCUUUCGCCCUACGUACACACACUUACAUACAGACGCACGCACUAACAUAUACAUAUAUUUUUUUUAUCUCGCCUCACACACACACAUACACACAGGCACACGUACACACUCACACAUACAUACACAUUAUUCUUCCUAUUCAUCGAGUUGUUACCAACCUUCCUUUCUCCGCUCUUUUGUCUUUAAAAACCAGCCCCUGUUAUCCAAAACUUCCGGCCUUUCAGCAUGUUUACUUCGUAAAAACCAGUCGCGUUUUUUUUUUCUCCCUCCGUUUGCCCACAUCGGCAUCUUUCUUUCUUCCUUCUGUUAUGUUUCCGACGAAGAGCUCCGCUCGAAACGUCAUACCCUCCUUCUUCCCUUUUUCCUGAGCGCCUAAUAAUAAUACUUUAAUUGUUCCACGUGUUGUUUUUUCUGUUUUCCCGUUUGGAUUAACCUUAUAUAUAUAUAUAUAUAUAUAUAUAUAUAUAUAUAUAUAUAUAUAUAUAUAUACAUGUAUAUAUUUGCAUUGGGAAAGCACUCCACAUCGACAACCGGUGACUGUCACACGUUCAUGACGUAUCAAUACCCACAAAGCCAGGUCCGUGUGCAUCACGUCAGGCUGAAGAUGGGAUGGAUGACUUCGCUUUGCAAAUACUCAUAAGGCAAAGAAAAUGUGUCAAUAGCCAGAUGGAGGAUGUGUCUACCUGGGCUGCAAGCUGCAUUAACAUCCAAUUUGCAUCACAUUUACGUGACAAAUAUAUUUCACGAUGUGGUGCAGCUAUGGUUUAUUUAUAUAUAUAUAUAUAUAUAUAUUUAAAUGUAAGGUGAUUAAAGUCAAAAAAUCAAUAAUGAUAGCCAGAAGUAAUGCAGUAUGAUCGUGCCAUGCAUGAAUACUUGAUGUGGUUUUAGAGUCAAGUUUUGACUACUCUCUCUAGCAUGGAGGUAUCCUUUAGAUACCCAUAAGUAUAAUUUUAAUAAUACAUAUUACAUAUAUCGUAUUUAUUCCCAUCCUGGCCACUUGAUAUGAUCGGUAUUUUAAAUCACGAUCUUAUCCUUAUUAAUAUAAAUUUAUAUAUAUUCACAUUAUACAUACAUACACAUAUAUAUAUAUAUAUAUAUAUAUAUAUAUAUAUAUAUAUAUAUAUAUAUAUAUAUAUAUAUAUAUAUAUAUAUAUAUACAUUGUGCUUUCGCACUCAUAUACACACACAUACAAACAUUCGUAUGCUGGUAUGUAUGUAUAUAAGGCAAAAAUAACGCUUAGUUUCCAUAAAGGAUUGAGCGACUAGGAAGCUAGGAAAUGACAGAGUUACUGUAACAAAUCGUAUUAUUCUUGAUAAAGUCGAGGAAAAGCUUUACUAGGGAUUAGAAUAUAUUGUAAGCGGAUGAAAUCUUAUCAAUUUUAGAGGAGUAUGCAGAAUAUCUUAAAUAAUACUUCGGAAAUUGAGCUUAUCUUUGGAAUAUACAUUGUCACAAAAUUCGAAGUAAUAUCUUUAGUAAAGCUCUAAUUUUAUUCUGCUCUGUUAUAUUAAUACAUUUUAUUUCGAUAAUUUGUAAAGGGAGGUCUUUUAUAUUAUUCAAUUUGUAUGAUUUUAAAUAAUUUAAUUAGAAGUAACCACUUAGAAAACGUUAUACAAAUAUUUCAGAUUUCACAUGAAAGCGGUCUGCUAAACUUUUCAUAUUGCUGGUGUCAAGUUAAUAGUUUAUUUACCAGAAUAUCCACAAUACUUGGUUCAAUUACGGAUUUUUAAAAAUAAUUUCUAUUAUCUGGCUUUGCCACUGUUCAUCUCCAUCGUAUCAUUUCAGCAGCGUCUCUUCCCUUUCAAUUAGCAACAAUCUUUCACUAAGAUUAGUCCUCAUACUCAAUUCUACCCAGGGCCGAAUCGUUACAUGUUUCCAGGCAUUUAGCAAGAGUUUUGUGAAUUUAGACUUAAUAAGACUGCACUUAAACCGUUUUACUACAAAACAAAUAAAUCCUUCGAAAGUCUGUAUGUUAAUAUCUAUUUAUGCACAACACGGCAAAAAUCGGAUUUGGGAACAAUUUAACAUUAUAGAGAGACUAAAUGAGAAUAAUAAUGUGAACAGAUUAUUUCGAUGUGAUUGCGGUGCUGAAAAAGAGGAGCGAGUCUCCUGAGAGAACUUGUGUGUUCGUGUGUGCGCGCGAGAAUUGAAAACGGUCAUUAGAAAUGACUAGUGCAGCUUAUAGAAUGCAUUUGAAUAAAGAUAAAUAUGAUAUAUUAUAUAAAGAAAAAUCAGAUGCAUUAGAGAGUCUUUUAGAUUAUCUCCACCUCUAAAACAAUCACCUGGAAGCCAUUUCGAUCUUCUUCAGAAGAGAUUUCAAUCUCAAAAAUCAAGAACUCCAUAAAAUCUCAUGUGAGUAUGGAAGAAGUUCGCCUGAUUGCCUAAAAACACGUUAAUCUGUGGAACCUUGCUUUGACUUAACGUCCGAUGCUGGCGUUAAAAGCACACAACAUUUUUAUAAACUUAUAAACUCACAAACUUUUAAUUAUUAAAGAGAAAAUAUUAACAGAAAAGACAUUUCUAUUUUUUUCAUGUAUAUAUAUAUAUAUAUAUAUAUAUAUAUAUAUAUAUAUAUAUAUGUAUAUAUAUAUAUAUAUAUAGCACAGUUCACCAAAAACUCCGGAUCUAAAUGUAGGAACAAAGACUAAAUAUUCCAAUAUCAUAUCGAGAAUUAUAUCAUCAUGCGACGUUUAAACUGAAGGUAAAAACUCUUUAUAUAUACAUGUGAAGUUGUGUGUCUGUCUCCUACGGUUUAAAUUCCUAACUACUCCCACAGUUUAACCAAAACCGGGUAUCUUAUAGUCGUGAUUCAUAUCGAGCCCUUCUGGGUAUUAGCGCGCGUCUACGAUGAGUCUACGAUUUUAAAAAAAUUAUCAUCAUUUUUUUUCCAUUUUAGUGCAUUUUUUUGCUAUUUUUGGCUAUAACACUCUAAAAAUGCUUAUAUAGUUAUUUCCCUUACAAACCCGAGCAACGCCGGGCGAUACUGCUAGUGAAAUAUAAGAGAGAGAAAUUUGAAAGGAGAUUUAUGAAAACUGAAAAGUAAGGAAAUCGCCAAAGUAUAUAACAUUUUAGCGAUAAUAGUUUGAGUUCGAAGCAACGAUAGAAGUGUGUGGCUGACCAAAUCGUAGAAGACUGACAAAAACUUUUGGCAUUUCAUAAUACAUUGUACUAUUCAGAUAGAAAAGAAAAGCGAAUAUAAAAGUUAAUGUGCUUCUGAAAUGGAUACGAUGAAUCUACUCCGGCGAUACUGUUUCUGUUUCAACACACAGAUUCAGAUAAUAUCACUUACCAAACAACUACAAGUCUCAAAUAUAAAUUAUAAAGUUAUAAAUGUAUACAAUAUACAAUGACUUUCCGGUUUCAAGCAUUACAUUAUACAAUAAAAUACAUCUUAUUGUAAGUAGUUUCUCCCUCCCUAUUU